AGUUAAAAACUCUCCAAAGUGGGAGGGCUAAUUGUGUAACUAGUGAAUAAAAAGGGUUAAUUGAGAAAUUAACAAAACAAAAACACAAACACGGUUGUGUUCGUGCGAACCAGGGGAGGAAGAAAGGGGAGCCAAAAACCCUAACUGCUAGAUAUCAAGAAAUUGAAGCCUAAAUCACAAGAAAAUUCGAUGCAUGGGUCCUCUUUUUCGAAAAUCUAACCCUAACUAAUGAAGUGGAACGUGUCAAGGAGAGCUCAAGCAUAGGAGGAUAACGGGUCAAGAUAAGGCAAGGUGACAAAUACACUUAUUGGAAUACUCAAGGUAAGUGAUUUCUAUAAUCACUUCUUUAGUUGUUUAAGUAAUAUAAUGUUUUAAUUAUUAAGUUCAUAUAAAGUUGAGGUUAAAUCAAUGGAUUAUUUUGAUAAAUGCACGAAUGGGUCGAAUAAUUCAUAGAUGAAUAACAAGCCGAAUACAUAUAAGUUAAGAAAUUCCUUAACUCGGAUGUUGGACUUCAAGAUCACGUGAUAGAAUAUUAUAUUACAAUCAUAUAGGAAGAAACAUGACGCAAAACGGACGAAAAAUGAGAGAGUUAUGUCCGUUUCAGUAAGGAUUAAUGGCUAGGAAAAGUGCAGAGUUGACACGGCCGGGUGGUGAACUGACACGGCCGGGUGAAAGUUCUGUCAAAAAUAUUAUUUAUGUAAUUUAUGCGCCGUAGGCUUCGGUAUAUUAUCCGUGAACUACGACGGGCCUCCCAAACAUGAUUUCGAGUGUUUCCUUGACGAUUAUAAGUUGUAAACCCAAGUCUAAGCCUCGUGUAAUUUAUAUAAGAGUGUGAUAGAUGUAUGUAAUGAAGUUGGACAUGUAUUACAUGUAAAUGUAUACAAAAAUACGUACGGAACACGUAGGUAUGAAUACAUGAUUGUAUGUAUGAUUAAAUGUAUAUUAGGUAUGUAGAUGUGUAUGAUUGUAAGUUUGUAUGUGUGCAAGUAUGUGCGAAUGCAUGAUUUGGAUGCAUUUGAGAAUUAGCGUUACUAAUAAUGCCCUUGGGUUUGGAAUAUAAGUUGAUUGGAUGCAUUUAAAUGGUUAACGUCCUUUUUAUGAAGAUGUAGUAAAUGAAUAUGUUGAGAUUACGGGUUUGGUUAACCAAGUUAUUAUUGAGUAUGUUUGAAAGUGCAGGUUAUGAAUGUCGGACUUUCGAAGUGUUGAUAUAAUAAUGAAACGGUUGAAUGUUGAAAGGAUAAUCGGAUUGAAGUAACUUAUGCGGUUAGAAUAUGCUAUGGACGUUUUAGUUUAUACAAUAUUAUAUGUUUGGUCGUCACCAUCUACUAACAGGUAAUUCCUCAAUUUUGGCGACUUGGAGAAUCGGAGCGAGCGCGUGUUCGUGUUAUGCGAUACCAAACGCUUCCGCUAGCUUGUUCAAAUGUUUUUGAUCCAAAAUUUGUUGUAUUGGUAUUUAGUAGUAUCUUGUUGAACGAAUUGUAGAAUUGUAUCUAGUUUGUUUAUGUUUAAAA